UAGCCUGAACCAGCCAAGUAGCGUGAAGGAUGAAGGCUCUAUGGGUCGUAAACUUCUUUUAUAUAAGAAUAAAGUGCAGUAUGUAUACUGUUUUGUAUGUAUUAUAUGAAUAAGGAUCGGCUAACUCCGUGCCAGCAGCCGCGGUAAUACGGAGGAUCCGAGCGUUAUCCGGAUUUAUUGGGUUUAAAGGGAGCGUAGGUGGACUGGUAAGUCAGUUGUGAAAGUUUGCGGCUCAACCGUAAAAUUGCAGUUGAUACUGUCAGUCUUGAGUACAGUAGAGGUGGGCGGAAUUCGUGGUGUAGCGGUGAAAUGCUUAGAUAUCACGAAGAACUCCGAUUGCGAAGGCAGCUCACUGGACUGCAACUGACACUGAUGCUCGAAAGUGUGGGUAUCAAACAGGAUUAGAUACCCUGGUAGUCCACACAGUAAACGAUGAAUACUCGCUGUUUGCGAUAUACAGUAAGCGGCCAAGCGAAAGCAUUAAGUAUUCCACCUGGGGAGUACGCCGGCAACGGUGAAACUCAAAGGAAUUGACGGGGGCCCGCACAAGCGGAGGAACAUGUGGUUUAAUUCGAUGAUACGCGAGGAACCUUACCCGGGCUUAAAUUGCAGUGGAAUGAUGUGGAAACAUGUCAGUGAGCAAUCACCGCUGUGAAGGUGCUGCAUGGUUGUCGUCAGCUCGUGCCGUGAGGUGUCGGCUUAAGUGCCAUAACGAGCGCAACCCUUAUCUUUAGUUACUAACAGGUCAUGCUGAGGACUCUAGAGAGACUGCCGUCGUAAGAUGUGAGGAAGGUGGGGAUGACGUCAAAUCAGCACGGCCCUUACGUCCGGGGCUACACACGUGUUACAAUGGGGGGUACAGAAGGCAGCUAGCGGGUGACCGUAUGCUAAUCCCAAAAGCCUCUCUCAGUUCGGAUCGAAGUCUGCAACCCGACUUCGUGAAGCUGGAUUCGCUAGUAAUCGCGCAUCAGCCACGGCGCGGUGAAUACGUUCCCGGGCCUUGUACACACCGCCCGUCAAGCCAUGGGAGCCGGGGGUACCUGAAGUACGUAACCGCAAGGAUCGUCCUAGGGUAAAACUGGUGACUGGGGCUAAGUCGUAACAAGGUAGCCGUACCGGAAGGUGCGGCUGGAACACCUCCUUU
rnacentral:rRNA from 1 species